rnacentral:lncRNA from 1 species
AUGGCUUCCAUGAGCCCAGAUGCUCAAGUGGGCUCAGCAUUGCUUCUUACCACCACCAGCAGCUCUGUGGCUCUCCCUGGACAAAGCACAGUUCCUAUUUUGUCAACCAUAGCUGAAGCUGGGGCUCUCACUAUCACUGAGACAGAUAGCACUCCUACAUGGCAAAGCACACACUCUUCUUCAACUACUAUAACAUCAUCUAAGGAUACCCCCAUGACCAAGAACAUGAGAUCAGCUUCCCCCAGGACUCACUCCAAGCAUCUAAUUUCCAGCACAAAAAUCACGGACAUUGUUCCCUUUUCCCCUGUGGUCACUCUUAGCCAUAAGUUUCCAAGUUCAGUGGUAGAGAAUAACACAGAUGCCCCACUGACCACUCCUAAAUCCCCAGUGGUCUCAGACACUCAUCCUGGAGGCUCAUUGGUCACCUCUGCUGACUCAGCUGUCCUGGGGACGACAGCUCAUGGUGAGCCACAUGAAAUCUUAGAAAAAGGCUCAACACUUUCUGUGAACACGUUUACCACAAAGAUCAGAGAACAUACUGUUACAGCAAAAGUGAUAGAAGGUAGCACUUUAGCUCCUCCAAGGAUUAACACAGGAGUUGAAGGAAGAUCAUCUAUUCCUUUUACUACAAAUCUAGGAGAGAUUCCAAAAAGUUCUGAGGCUGUGACUCCCAGAGACACAAGUCCUUCUUACUUGUGGCUAACAGUGACUACAGUGAGUCCUUUUCAUAUUGGAUUGGGUAUAGGUCUGGAUGCUGUUUUCCAGGCUGAGCUGUCUGAAAUUCAAGGUCCACUAAUCAUCAUUGAAAUCCCACAGGAGAGUGAUGCAGGAUUCCCAUUAACUUUUACUGCAACUGAGGCAACUACAGCAAGGACCAUAACAUCUUCCACUCUCAUCUCAGGAUUGGGGGAGAGCCAGUCUUCCAUAGGCAGCAUUUCAGGAACAGAGGCCAUCAGAGACUCUCCCACCUUGUUCUCUCCUUUAGAAAGCACCAGGACACAUGCCACCAGACCUGAGUAUGCAUUGAGCUCUGAACAAGCACUGUCCACUCUGCCAACUAAGAAAUUACUUGAAAUGGUCACCAGCACACUUACUUUUGUUUCCAAAAUGCCUUCUGAAGUCACUGCUUUGGCACGAAGGAUAAAUGGCCAACGGUUUGAAAGUCACAGCAUGUCUACCCUGGAGGCCAAUGAUGCCCUAGCAGUAGGCACUGGCCCUGCUGUGACCUUUAACUCUCCACUACCAAGCGUCACUGCUUCUAGCAGCAUGGAUGUCGAUGUGGAAACUGUGUCAAGAUUAGCACCCUGGACAGCCAGAUCCUCAUCACAAGUAGAAGCCAGUUCUCCCAAUCUGGUUGUCACCACAGGAGAUGGACCCUCCCUGGGAACAGAACCUCACAAUCCCAUCCAUGAAUCUCUGAGCCCAGGGCCAGGCUCCUUUCCUGCCUUAAGUACCCCCAAGGCCUGGACAAGCACAGCUUCCCUUGAAACUGCUACCUCAUUAGAGGACCCAGGGCCAGCCGGCCUGACUCUAGAGUCAGAGAGAAACCCACAGGCAACACCAACUCCAGCUAUCACCCUGCCUCCAGCCAGCACACUAGAAGUUUGCACAACAGCAUCUCCCAGUCCUCCUGACACAACCACAGAGGGCAGGAGUGUCAAGGCAGGGACAGCCUCUGUUUCUGAUCAAGUGCCUUCCUCUUCCAGCCUCUUCCCAAGUAAGCAUAUUUUAAAUAAGCUUCCCAGGGAUGGAAUUGGGGUGUGGCCUUGGAAGAAAUGGGGAGUGUCUGUCCAGGGAGGGUCAGUUUGUGUCUUUCUAAGGAGAAGGGUCUUCCUCCCUGGUCCUUCCUCUCUAUAG